rnacentral:piRNA from 1 species
UGAUGACCCUGGAGCUCUUGGCUUCCAUAC